GUGCCCUUUCUAGGCUAACACAGUCCUGUAAGAGGCUAGCACAGAGGGGUAGAGGAAAUCUCUAUUAACUCAGAAAAGGCACUGCAAACCUCCUCUUGAAGCCUUUUUGAAGCCACAGCU
ensembl:snoRNA Gm23593 predicted gene, 23593